UACGUAGGGCGCAAGCGUUAUCCGGAAUUAUUGGGCGUAAAGGGUGCGUAGGCGGUUCGGUAAGUUUCGUGUGAAAUCUUCGGGCUCAACUCGAAGCCUGCACGAGAUACUGCCGGGCUUGAGUGUGGGAGAGGUGAGUGGAAUUUCCGGUGUAGCGGUGAAAUGCGUAGAUAUCGGAAGGAACACCUGUGGCGAAAGCGGCUCACUGGACCACAACUGACGCUGAGGCACGAAAGCUAGGGAGCAAACAGG
rnacentral:rRNA from 1 species